UUACGGUCACAUCACAUUGAAACACCGGUUCAUUAAUGAUCACCGAAGUUAAGCAACAUAGAACCUUGUCAGUACCUAGAUGGGUGACCGCUUGGGAAAUAUCAGAUGAUGUAA